UGGGUGCAGUUGGCAAAUGGUUCUGUAGGAGUUGGCAGCUGCAAUAGGGUAGAGAAGUCCCCAAAUGAAUGUGAAGGUAGUCGCAUAGAAGUUAAUGUGGCUAAAGACUCCCCUACGAAAAAAACAAAACGGGCAGGUAGAAUUAAGUCAUGCGUUGAGAAGGCCAAGAAUGAGAAGGCGAAUAAUGAGAAGGGAAAGAAUGAUGAAGGGAAGAAUGCGGAAGCUAAGAAGAAACAGCAAGAAGCACCUAAGAAGGGGAAAGGCAAAGGAGUGAAACGCAAGGAGAACGCAGACCCCCCUCCUCAGGAUUUGGAGAACGUGAAUCCAUCAACACGUUUGGAGCUGCAGUUGUGGCCUACUAGUCAGGCUUACCAAUACAGAGACUUCUUCGACAAAGAAUGCUAGUUGAAACACUCGAAUGGUAGUUGGAAGAAUGGAUUGGUAGUUGAAACACUCGAAUGGAACUUCGAAC